rnacentral:sRNA from 1 species
GUUGCUCCUCCCCUGGCAGCCUUGCGGGGGGUUAGAUCUCAGCCGGAGCCGGAGCUGGGCCUAGCUGUCCCACGGGCCACCACUACCUCCUUUGGUUCGGGAGAAAGCUACGACCAAGUACGCCCAGCUCGGGCCUUAGAACUUCUGAACGGGCAGUGCGGGUAGGCCCUGCUUAGCCCUUCCCGGAGGACACCUGACCAAAAGAGGAAGAUAGUCUUGGGACCCUUGCAUGGUGUUUCAAAGGGUGGUGAAGAACUAAGGUAGAAGAAUACAUGUUCACUUCCAGUGAACAAGAGCAUGUUCCCAAACUCAAUUUUGGGUCGCCCACCCUUCACUCCAAAUCAUCAACAACAUAAUAACUUCUUUACCCUGUCACCUACUGUUUAUUCACACCAGCAGCUUAUAGAUGCACAAUUCAACUUUCAGAAUGCAGACUUGUCUAGAGCUGUGUCAUUACAGCAGCUGACAUAUGGAAAUGUCAGUCCAAUACAGACCUCAGCUUCCCCAUUAUUUCGAGGAAGGAAAUGGCUGCUUUGUCACUGUGUCUUAAUAUGGCCGUUGCCCUGUGUUUUCUG